CCUACGGGAGGCAGCAGUGGGGAAUAUUGCACAAUGGGGGAAACCCUGAUGCAGCGACGCCGCGUGAGCGAUGAAGUAUUUCGGUAUGUAAAGCCUUAUCAGCAGGGAAGAAAAUGACGGUACCUGACUAAGAAGCCCCGGUGACCUCCGUGCCAGCAGCCGCGGUAAUCCGUAGGGGGCAAGCGUUACCCGGAUUUACUGGGUGUAAAGGGAGAGUAGACGGGGAUGCAAGCCAGAUGUGAAAGCCCGGGGCUCAACCCCGGGACUGCAUUUGGAACUGUGUGGCUGGAGUGUCGGAGAGGCAGGCGGAAUUCCUAGUGUAGCGGUGAAAUGCGUAGAUAUUAGGAGGAACACCAGUGGCGAAGGCGGCCUGCUGGACGAUGACUGACGUUGAGGCUCGAAAGCGUGGGGAGCAAACAGGAUUAGAUACCCCUGUAGUC
rnacentral:rRNA from 1 species